GCAAACCGACACAGGUGGGUGAGGAGAGUAUCCUAAGGCCAGCGAGAGAACUGUUGUUAAGGAACUCGGCAAAAUGACCCCGUAACUUAGGGAUAAGGGGGGCCACCAUCAGGUGGCCGCAGAGAAUAGGCCCAAGCGACUGUUUACCAAAAACAUAGGUUUCUGCUAAGUCGCAAGACGAUGUAUAGGAGCUGACGCCUGCCC
rnacentral:rRNA from 1 species